UCUCUGUCAGAGGCUGCUAUUCCAGCAUGUCAGAUAAUGAACUUGAUCGUGUGGUGAGAUCAAUAAAAAUAAGAAUGCCCCAUGCUGGUUACAGGCUAGUGAAAGGGAAACUUUUGGCUAGAGGACACCGCAUACAAUGGCACAGGGUGAAGGCCAGUAUGCAACGGGUGGAUGGAGCUGGAAUUUUGGCCAGAAUGUUCCAGCUUGGUUUUGUAGCUCGUAGAAGUUAUUCCGUUCCUGCUCCAUUGUCCCUAGUUCAUGUGGAUACCAACCAUAAACUAAUCACAUUCAACAUUGUGAUAUUUGGUGGGAUUGAUGGAUUCUCAAGGAAGAUCCUGUAUCUUGAUGCUGCUGCAAACCACAAAGCAUCGACUGCUUUCUAAUUUUUUUGGAGGGUAUCCACAAACAUGGGUGGCCGUCGAGAGUACGUGGUGACCAGGGAGUUGAAAAUGUGGACAUCGCUCGUUGCAUGUUUUCAGUACGAGGAACGGGCCGAGGCAGUUCCAUUUCUGGAAAAAGUGUGCAUAAUCAAAGAAUUGAGCGUCUGUGGUUUGAUGUUUGGUCAGCCGUCUCUUGUAAAUAUUAUGAAAUCCUGCACACAAUGGAAGAAGAGAGAGUGCUUGAUCUAUCCGAUGAGCUGCACCUCUUUUGUGUGCACUAUGCAAUUCUUCCACGGUUGAAAUCGGACCUGAAGGGCUUCACGGGGAGCUGGAACAACCAUCCGAUCAGAACAGAGGGAAAUCUUUCACCAGAACAGCUUUGGUACAUCGGAAUGUUACAGACACCAGUGGAUGAGCCAGAUAUUGAGGUGGUGGAGCAACUUUUUCGAAAGGAAACUGCUGAUACUGACCCAGAGGAUGGUGUGGUGGUGCCAGAGAUCCAUUGCCCUUUUUCUGACCAAAAACUUGCCGUUCUGCGUGGAUUGAUUAAUCCCUUGACAUCACCUUUGAAUGACAGGGUGCUCUAUGUCCAGACACUUGCUAUCAUCAAAAGAUUGUGCUCUAUUUUACAUUUAAAUGUUUAAGUAAAACACUCACAAGUACACAUGCAGUUCUGUCAGAAUUUUAAUUAAAGAAAAUCAGUUAAUUGCCAAUAAAACAUUUAAUUUUAUACAAUGCUGUAAAACAUGUAACCAUUCAGAAGCAUGUAAAG